rnacentral:rRNA from 1 species
AUGACCCUAGUGAGGGAGUUCUCAUCGGUUCCAUUGCCUGCAAUGGCCAGCCUGGCCACCUUCUCAAAGUACCUAUCAGGACAGGUGAAGCACCGGAUAACAGCCCGCAGGGUUUUGAGAAACUCAUCCUUGGGGUCAGCCUUGAGAUCCUGUAAAAAGCAGAGAUUGUGA